AUUGAACGCUGGCGGCAUGCCUUACACAUGCAAGUCGAACGGUAACAGGUCUUCGGAUGCUGACGAGUGGCGAACGGGUGAGUAAUACAUCGGAACGUGCCCGAUCGUGGGGGAUAACGAGGCGAAAGCUUUGCUAAUACCGCAUACGAUCUACGGAUGAAAGCGGGGGAUCUUCGGACCUCGCGCGGACGGAGCGGCCGAUGGCAGAUUAGGUAGUUGGUGGGAUAAAAGCUUACCAAGCCGACGAUCUGUAGCUGGUCUGAGAGGAUGAUCAGCCACACUGGAACUGAGACACGGCCAAGACUCCUACGGGAGGCAGCAGUGGGGAAUUUUGGACAAUGGGCGAAAGCCUGAUCCAGACAUACCGCGUGGAGGAUGAAGGCCUUCGGGUUGUAAACUGCUUUUGUAAGGAAAGAAAAGCCUCUUUCUAAUAAAGAGGGGUCAUGACGGUACCGUAAGAAUAAGCACCGGCUAACUACGUG
rnacentral:rRNA from 1 species